rnacentral:lncRNA from 13 species
AUUUCACAUUUCAGAACCACUUAUGAAAGUAGAGCAUAGAGAUGUUUUACUGAAAUAAUUGAAUAAUAAGUUGAAAAAGUUUUUGUGAAUCCAUUGGAUAAUGAAUUUUUUUUCUUAAUUUACAUACUGUUAUUUGUGCAUAAAAACCUUAAAGCUCACACCAACUGGACGUUAGCAUGGCCGUUCUGGGCACCCCAGCCCUGAGCUCGUGUACACUGGACGUUAGCGUGGCCGUUCUGAGCUCCCCAGCCCUGAGCUCGUGUACACUGGACGUUAGCGUGGCUGUUCUGAGCUCCCCAGCCCUGAGCUCAUGUACACUGGAUGUUAGUGUGGCCGUUCUGGGCACCCCAGCCCUGAGCUCAUGUACACUGGACGUUAGCGUGGCCGUUCUGGCACUCCGUGCUCGUGUUUGCGGUGUUUCCCAUAGCCUACCAUGAGGGGCACAAGGAUGGAAAUGAUUUGAGCGCGGAGCAGGGUCAGGGUUUUGGGUGCGGGGGAGGAGCCUUGGUCUGGGGUUACACUUAGUGGCUCUGGCCAGGAGCCAGUGGCCUUGUGCACUGCCCGUGACUGUGAUUUCUGCCUUGGUGCCCCUGGGGGAUUCAGGAGGAGGUCCUCCGAAAUGGUCCCUUGGAGGUUGUCCCUGAGGCACCUUCCAGGUGGCUGUCCAGUGGAGGGGGGCGUUCUGAGCUUGUCACCCAGGCCCCCAUCACAGCCCUCCUGGAGCACGGCCUCCAGCAGCUGUCUCCAGCUGUGGCUCUCAGCCCAGGGUUCCCGUGCACAUUCCUUCCACCGCCUGCCGUGGCUUCUCUGCACUGAAGAGCCCCAGUCUGGAUGAAGGGGACCGUUGGACCUCACGGAGGGCUCAGACAGAGGAACAAGCCUCCACUUCCCCUGCCCUGGGAUGUGAAGCACCAGCUUGGCAAGGUGGCAGGGAUGCUUGGCCCCAUGGGUAGGGCCUGAAGGCCCUCAGAAGAGCAGCUCCACAGGUGGAGGGGCUUGCCUGGUCCGGGGGCACAGCCCCUUUCCUUGGGGCCUCCAAGGUAUCCAGGUGCCUCAGUGGGUCCUUUGCAUCUUGGCCUCUCCUCACCUUAUGCUUCUG